UACAGAGGUCCCAAGCGUUGUUCGGAUUCACUGGGCGUAAAGGGUGCGUAGGUGGUGAGGUAAGUCGGAUGUGAAAUCUCCGGGCUCAACCCGGAAAUGGCAUUGGAAACUACCUUGCUGGAGGAUUUGAGGGGGGAUUGGAAUACUUGGUGUAGCAGUGAAAUGCGUAGAUAUCAAGUAGAACACCAGGGGCGAAGUCGAAUCCCUGGAAAAUACCUGACACUGAGGCACGAAAGCUAGGGGAGCAAACAGG
rnacentral:rRNA from 1 species